UAAUAGUAGUGGUAAUAGUAAUAACGGACACGUUUAUCACACAUGAGUAUUGGAGUGUCAAAAUGACCAGACGAAAACCUGGAAAACGAUGGAGAAGGACUGGUAAUGAAGAAGACCCAAAUAAACGACCAAGACGGGCUGCACAAUUGUCAUCCCUCCCUGCAGCCACCAGUGUUCAUGUGGAGACUGAUCAGCAAUAUUUAGG